rnacentral:rRNA from 1 species
UAGGGAAUAUUGGACAAUGGGCGCAAGCCUGAUCCAGCCAUCCCGCGUGAAGGAUUAAGGCCCUCUGGGUUGUAAACUUCUUUUCUCUGGGAAUAAAAAGUGGGAUUUAUCCUGCCUUGAAGGUACCAGAGGAAUAAGCACCGGCUAACUCCGUGCCAGCAGCCGCGGUAAUACGGAGGGUGCAAGCGUUAUCCGGAUUCACUGGGUUUAAAGGGAGCGUAGGUGGCUUUGUAAGUCAGUGGUGAAAUAUUGCGGCUCAACCGCAAAACUGCCAUUGAUACUGCUUAGCUUGAAUCACGUCGAGGUGGAUGGAAUAAUACAUGUAGCGGUGAAAUGCUUAGAUAUGUAUUAGAACACCGAUUGCGAAGGCAGUUCACUAGGCGUGUAUUGACACUGAGGCUCGAAAGCGUGGGGAUCAAACAGGAUUAGAUACCCGCGUAGUCC